rnacentral:rRNA from 1 species
GACGAACCGUGCGAACGUUGUUCGGAAUCACUGGGCUUAAAGGGCGCGUAGGCGGAUCAUCAAGUCCGGGGUGAAAUCUUUCGGCUUAACCGGAAAAUAGCCUUGGAUACUGGUGGUCUCGAGGGGGGGUAGGGGCCGUUGGAACUUCCGGUGGAGCGGUGAAAUGCGUUGAUAUCGGAAGGAACGCCGGUGGCGAAAGCGAACGGCUGGACCUCUUCUGACGCUGAGGCGCGAAAGCCAGGGGAGCAAAGCGGG